GAUGAACGCUGGCGGCGUGCCUAAUACAUGCAAGUCGAGCGAACGGACGAGAAGCUUGCUUCUCUGAUGUUAGCGGCGGACGGGUGAGUAACACGUGGAUAACCUACCUAUAAGACUGGGAUAACUUCGGGAAACCGGAGCUAAUACCGGAUAAUAUUUUGAACCGCAUGGUUCAAAAGUGAAAGACGGUCUUGCUGUCACUUAUAGAUGGAUCCGCGCUGCAUUAGCUAGUUGGUAAGGUAACGGCUUACCAAGGCAACGAUGCAUAGCCGACCUGAGAGAGUGAUAGGCCACACUGGAACUGAGACACGGUCCAGACUCCUACGGGAGGCAGCAGUAGGGAAUCUUCCGCAAAGGGCGAAAGCCUGACGGAGCAACGCCGCGUGAGAGAUGAAGGUCUUCGGAUCGUAAAACUCUGUUAUUAGGGAAGAACAUAUGUGUAAGUAACUGUGCACAUCUUGACGGUACCUAAUCAGAAAGCCACGGCUAACUACGUG
rnacentral:rRNA from 1 species